rnacentral:rRNA from 1 species
AGCAGCCGCGGUAAUUCCAGCUCCAAUAGCGUAUAUUAAAGUUGCUGCAGUUAAAAAGCUCGUAGUUGAAUUUCGGGACCAUCAUGUCGGUCGUGCCUCGGUACGUACUGGCAUUGUUGGUUUCUCCCUUCUGACGAACCACGAUGUCAUUUAUUUGGUGUUGUGGGGAAUCAGGACUGUUACUUUGAAAAAUUAGAGUGUUUAAAGCAGGCUCACGCUUGAAUACAUUAGCAUGGAAUAAUGAAAUAGGACGUUUGAUUCUAUUUUGUUGGUUUCUAGGAUCGACGUAAUGAUUAAUAGGGAUAGUUGGGGGCAUUAGUAUUCAAUUGUCAGAGGUGAAAUUCUUGGAUUUAUUGAAGACUAACUACUGCGAAAGCAUUUGCCAAGGAUGUUUUCAUUAAUCAAGAACGAAAGUUAGGGGAUCGAAGACGAUCAGAUACCGUCGUAGUCUUAACCAUAAACUAUGCCGACUAGGGAUCGGAU